AGGCCGUGAUGGGGACACUUGCGUAAUAGCUCCUUGAACCUUUCCCAAGUUUCAUAUAAGGAUUCCUCGUCCUCUUGUGAGUAUGUAUUAAUUUCAGCCAUUAAUUU
rfam:Helianthus annuus linkage group 12, whole genome shotgun sequence.